rnacentral:lncRNA from 1 species
CCUGAUCAAAAGCAACACUGUGUGGAUGCCCGUAGAGAUCAAAUAUUUGUGUGGCUCUAAGAAAUAUCAAGAGGCAUCCAUGAUUUUUUCAGAUUGCGGUGAAGGUCUACUUGCGCAAAGGCAAAAUUUUAGAUUUUAUUAGAAUAGAUCUAAAUCUUAUUUAUGUAAUGAUUUCUGGAUAUGAGAUAUGAUUUCUGUAUAUGUUUGUUAGAUUAGAU